CAAUAGCGUAUAUUUAAGUUGUUGCAGUUAAAAAGCUCGUAGUCGGAUUUUGGCUGAGAACGAUCGGUCCGCCGUUAGGUGUGCACUGAUUGGUCUCAGCUUCCUGGUGAGGAGGUGUGCUUCACGGCCACUUAGUCACCGUGGUUACUUUGAAAAAAUUAGAGUGUUCAAAGCGGGCUUACGCUUGAAUAUAUUAGCAUGGAAUAACACCAUAGGACUCCUGUCCUAUUUCGUUGGUCUCGGGACGGGAGUAAUGAUUAAGAGGAACAGUUGGGGGCACUCGUAUUUCAUUGUCAGAGGUGAAAUUCUUGGAUUUAUGAAAGACGAACUUCUGCGAAAGCAUUUGCCAAGGAUGUUUUCAUUGA
rnacentral:rRNA from 1 species